GGUUUGUGGCUCAAUGGUAGAGCACUUGCCUAGCAUGUGGGAGGUACUGGGUUUGAUCCUCAGCACCA
rnacentral:tRNA from 1 species